rnacentral:rRNA from 1 species
UAGGGAAUCUUCCACAAUGGGCGCAAGCCUGAUGGAGCAACACCGCGUGAGUGAAGAGGGGUUUCGGCUCGUAAAGCUCUGUUGUUGAAGAAGAACGUGCNUGAGAGUAACUGUUCAUGCAGUGACGGUAUUCAACCAGAAAGUCACGGCUAACUACGUGCCAGCAGCCGCGGUAAUACGUAGGUGGCAAGCGUUAUCCGGAUUUAUUGGGCGUAAAGAGAGUGCAGGCGGUUUCUUAAGUCUGAUGUGAAAGCCUUCGGCUUAACCGAAGAAGUGCAUCGGAAACCGGGAGACUUGAGUACAGAAGAGGGCAGUGGAACUCCAUGUGUAGCGGUGGAAUGCGUAGAUAUAUGGAAGAACACCAGUGGCGAAGGCGGCUGCCUGGUCUGCAACUGACGCUGAGGCUCGAAAGCAUGGGUAGCGAACAGGAUUAGAUACCCUGGUAGUCCAUGCCGUAAACGAUGAGUGCUAGGUGUUGGAGGGUUUCCGCCCUUCAGUGCCGGAGCUAACGCAUUAAGCACUCCGCCUGGGGAGUACGACCGCAAGGUUG